rnacentral:rRNA from 1 species
UACAGAGGUCUCAAGCGUUGUUCGGAUUCAUUGGGCGUAAAGGGUGCGUAGGUGGCGAGGUUAGUCAGGUGUGAAAUCUCAGGGCUCAACCCCGAAACUGCACUUGAUACUGCCUUGCUAGAGUACUGGAGAGGAGAUUGGAAUUUACGGUGUAGCAGUGAAAUGCGUAGAUAUCGUAAGGAAGACCAGUGGCGAAGGCGAAUCUCUGGACAGUUACUGACACUGAGGCACGAAGGCCAGGGGAGCAAACGGG